AUGGAAAGAACUUUGAAAAGAGAGUGAAAAGCACUUGAAACCGUCACGGGGGAAGCGGAUUGCGUGAGUGAUGGUGUCGCUUGUUCAGCGCUUUAUUGCGUGCAUUCUGGCGGCGCCGUGCCGGCGUGGCUGGCUGGACUGUGAUUUUGACAGUCUCGGCUGGUGAGGGCUCCCUCGUAUGAGGUGAGGACGCGGGCAAAAUGACGCAAUACGACCCGUCUUGAAACACGGACCAAGGAGUCUAGCACGGCUGCGAGUCGAAGAGUGAUUAAACUCAAGGGCGCAGUGAAAGCGAAAUUAUAAGCAAAUUGGGGAGGCGUUGCGUUUUUAACAAAAUGUCCUACCUCGAGCAUUUGUGCUGGGACCCGAAAGAUGGUGAACUAUGCCGGAGUAGGGCAAAGCCAGAGGAAACUCUGGUGGAGGCUCGUAGCGAUGCUGACGUGCAAAUCGCUCGUCGAACUUGGGUAUAGGGGCGAAAGACUAAUCGAACCAUCUAGUAGCUGGUUCCCUCCGAAGUUUCUCUCAGGAUAGCGGGCCGACACGCGUUUGUUGUUUUGUGC
rnacentral:rRNA from 2 species